rfam:Aedes aegypti strain Liverpool supercont1.12 genomic scaffold, whole genome shotgun sequence.
GCGCGAUGGCUUUCGGUGAUUAUCCGGCGGAGUACAACCCGAAGAUCCCGUCCGUUACUACGGCAAGCCGGAUACGCC